AAAAGAACCCCGGCGAGGGGAGUGAAAAAGAACCUGAAACCGUGUACGUACAAGCAGUGGGAGCACCUUCGGGUGUGACUGCGUACCUUUUGUAUAAUGGGUCAGCGACUUAUAUUCUGUAGCAAGGUUAACCGUAUAGGGGAGCCGCAGGGAAACCGAGUCUUAACUGGGCGUUAAGUUGCAGGGUAUAGACCCGAAACCCGGUGAUCUAGCCAUGGGCAGGUUGAAGGUUGGGUAACACUAACUGGAGGACCGAACCGACUAAUGUUGAAAAAUUAGCGGAUGACUUGUGGCUGGGGGUGAAAGGCCAAUCAAACCGGGAGAUAGCUGGUUCUCCCCGAAAGCUAUUUAGGUAGCGCCUCGUGAACUCAUCUUCGGGGGUAGAGCACUGUUUCGGCUAGGGGGUCAUCCCGACUUACCAACCCGAUGCAAACUACGAAUACCGAAGAAUGUUAUCACGGGAGACACACGGCGGGUGCUAACGUCCGUCGUGAAGAGGGAAACAACCCAGACCGCCAGCUA
rnacentral:rRNA from 1 species